rnacentral:rRNA from 1 species
CCUACGGGUAGGCUGCAGUGGGGAAUAUUGGACAAUGGGCGAAAGCCUGAUCCAGCCAUGCCGCGUGUGUGAAGAAGGCCUUCGGGUUGUAAAGCACUUUCAGUGGGGAAGAAAGCCUUGUGGCUAAUACCCUCGAGGAAGGACAUCACCCACAGAAGAAGCACCGGCUAACUCCGUGCCAGCAGCCGCGGUAAUACGGAGGGUGCGAGCGUUAAUCGGAAUUACUGGGCGUAAAGCGCGCGUAGGCGGUCUGAUAAGCCGGUUGUGAAAGCCCCGGGCUCAACCUGGGAACGGCAUCCGGAACUGUCAGGCUAGAGUGCAGGAGAGGAAGGUAGAAUUCCCGGUGUAGCGGUGAAAUGCGUAGAGAUCGGGAGGAAUACCAGUGGCGAAGGCGGCCUUCUGGACUGACACUGACGCUGAGGUGCGAAAGCGUGGGUAGCAAACAGGAUUAGAUACCCGAGUAGUC